UAACCUUAAAUGAUGAACAAUAAACAUGGAAUAUUAAUUAUUAGAAUAGCGACAAUAAAUUUGAAACUAGAAAUCAACGAGAUUAAGAUUCCAGCGAGAUUAGAUCUCAAGUGAAGCCGGCAACAGCUCCUCACGAAGCUGCCUCAUCCCACCAAAUCACCAACCAGAUCAGAUCCAAGCUAAAGAGCAUGGGUGGGCCGCAAGAAGGAGGAGGUUGAGAUGAGAGCAGGAUGGAGAGAAGCCAUAAUAGAUCCCCCAACAUCCUUAAAUCAGAUCUAUACUACAAUUCUUAACAGUCGCUGCUUAAAACCAAAUCUCCUCUACUCACA
rnacentral:lncRNA from 1 species